GUGGUUCUAUGUAUAUUAAAAAAGCAUAGUACGCAGUAACCAUUGUCAUUUCUCUUUUUCCUUCGGACCAUCUUAGUCAGUUUUGGAUCACCACAUUGUAAUGUAACAAAACUGUAUAUGUAGAGUUUCUGUUGUUUGUUUUGUCUCUUGGGUCAAAAAUAUUACUGAGUUUGGCUUUGUGGUUUACAAGUUAGUUAAGUGACUGAACAUAUUGCGUAUAUUGCAUGUUGUUGACCAA